GAUGAACGCUAGCUACAGGCUUAACACAUGCAAGUCGCGGGGCAGCAUGGGGGUUGCUUGCAAUCCCCGAUGGCGGCCGGCGCACGGGUGAGUAACGCGUAUCCAACCUGCCCUUCACCACGGGAUAACCCGGCGAAAGUCGGACUAAUACCGUAUGUUGUCCAUUGACGGCAUCCGAUUUGGACGAAAGGUUUGGCGGUGAAGGAUGGGGAUGCGUCCGAUUAGCUGGACGGCGGGGUGACGGCCCACCGUGGCGACGAUCGGUAGGGGUUCUGAGAGGAAGGUCCCCCACACUGGAACUGAGACACGGUCCAGACUCCUACGGGAGGCAGCAGUGAGGAAUAUUGGUCAAUGGGCGUAAGCCUGAACCAGCCAAGUAGCGUGCAGGAUGACGGCCCUAUGGGUGGUAAACUGCUUUUAUGCGGGGAUAAAGUGGCCCACGUGUGGGUUUUUGCAGGUACCGCAUGAAUAAGAACCGGCUAAUUCCGUG
rnacentral:rRNA from 1 species